GGGCCCGCACAAGCGGUGGAGCAUGUGGCUUAAUUCGAUGCUACGCGAAGAACCUUACCUAGGCUUGAAAUACACAGGACAGAUCAUGAAAGUGAUUCUCCCUUCGGGGCCUGUGAACAGGUGCUGCAUGGCUGUCGUCAGCUCGUGUCGUGAGAUGUUCGGUUAAGUCCGGUAACGAGCGCAACCCUCGUCCUUAGUUGCCAUCAGGUAAAGCUGGGAACUUUAAGGAGACUACCCGCAAGGGAGGAAGGUGGGGAUGACGUCAAGUCAGUAUGGCCCUUACGUCUAGGGCUGCACACGUGCUACAAUGCCCGAUACAAUUAGACGCAAUACCGCGAGGUGGAGCAAAUCUAAAAAAUCGGGCCCAGUUCGGAUUGGAGUCUGCAAUUCGACUCCAUGAAGUCGGAAUCGCUAGUAAUGGCGUAUCAGCUACGACG
rnacentral:rRNA from 1 species